rnacentral:snoRNA from 1 species
UGCGCCAAAGUAAGUUUGAAGUCAAAAGUAUGAAAUUCAGGAUAGAUGCAAAAGUAAAUUCUCUUGCAACCCAGAGCCCUUUGUUUGGUAUGAGUUUUGAUCCAUAUAAGAAGGAAUAUG